rnacentral:rRNA from 1 species
AGUGAACGCUGGCGGUAGGCCUAACACAUGCAAGUCGAACGGCAGCACAGUAAGAGCUUGCUCUUACGGGUGGCGAGUGGCGGACGGGUGAGGAAUACAUCGGAAUCUACUUUUUCGUGGGGGAUAACGUAGGGAAACUUACGCUAAUACCGCAUACGACCUACGGGUGAAAGCAGGGGAUCUUCGGACCUUGCGCGAUUGAAUGAGCCGAUGUCGGAUUAGCUAGUUGGCGGGGUAAAGGCCCACCAAGGCGACGAUGCGUAGCUGGUCUGAGAGGAUGAUCAGCCACACUGGAACUGAGACACGGUCCAGACUCCUACGGGAGGCAGCAGUGGGGAAUAUUGGACAAUGGGCGCAAGCCUGACCCAGCCAUACCGCGUGGGUGAAGAAGGCCUUCGGGUUGUAAAGCCCUUUUGUUGGGAAAGAAAAGCAGCAGGUUAAUACCCCGCUGUUCUGACGGUACCCAAAGAAUAAGCACCGGCUAACUUCGUG